GUAAAACUCCGGUGGUGUGAGAUGGGCCCGCGUCUGAUUAGUUAGUUGGCGGGGUAACGGCCCACCAAGGCGACGAUCAGUAGCCGACCUGAGAGGGUGACCGGCCACAUUGGGACUGAGACACGGCCCAAACUCCUACGGGAGGCAGCAGUGGGGAAUAUUGCACAAUGGGGGAAACCCUGAUGCAGCGACGCCGCGUGAGCGAAGAAGUAUUUCGGUAUGUAAAGGUCUAUCAGCAAGGAAGAAGAAAGACGGUACUUGACUAAGAAGUCCCGGCUAACUAC
rnacentral:rRNA from 1 species